CGCCCUAAUAAGCUAAAUGACAGCAUUUAA
rnacentral:tRNA from 1 species